GUAGGUGGCAAGCGUUGUCCGGGGAAUUAUUGGGGCGUAAAGCGCGCGCAGGCGGUUCUUUAGGUCUGAUGUGAAAGCCCACGGGCUCAACCGUGGAGGGUCAUUGGAAACUGGAGAACUUGAGUACAGAAGAGGAAAGCGGAAUUCCACGUGUAGCGGUGAAAUGCGUAGAGAUGUGGAGGAACACCAGUGGCGAAGGCGGCUUUCUGGUCUGUAACUGACGCUGAGGCGCGAAAGCGUGGGGAGCAAACAGGAUUAGAUACCCUGGUAGUCCACGCCGUAGACGAUGAGUGCUAAGUGUUAGGGGGUUUCCGCCCCUUAGUGCUGCAGCUAACGCAUUAAGCACUCCGCCUGGGGAGUACGGCCGCAAAGGCUGA
rnacentral:rRNA from 1 species